AUAAAAGAGUUUAUGGCUCCUAUUUCCAAAAGCAGUCACUAGCUUUGUGUCUCUGUCUUUUUGGUGCCAAACUGUGAGAGUUUUUAAAGUUCUGGCAUGUGUGCAGAACAAAGACCAACUGUUCGCUGGUUUAACUGGUUUGACUUGUACACUGCUCUGUUGAAAAGGUGCCUUAGUGUGAAGUCUGCGUAGCACAGUGGAGAAGCAGAUGUUCCCUUCAUCCCUGUUGCCCAUCAGGGCUGGAUUUUAGAAGUGCCCCAGUCGAAGCCAACAGUGUUUGCACUGUCCAGCACCGCUGAGAGCUGGGCCAGGUGUUAGAUCAAAUGUCUGGAGCUGGGAGUGUAACAUUUUUUCAGAUGUGCUUCUCAGUGAUUUUUUUCCAGACAGAUGCGGGAAGUCUGUGGUAGAGCUGGGAACAGAGCCUGUUCCUGUGCUGCAGGAGGCUGUGUGUCUGACAAGACACAGGCACUGCCCUGCAAACUAAAUGUUGUGAUUUCAUGGUGGGAGCUGAACGGCACCCGGCAGUUGCAGCAGGGGAUUUUUCCAAGUUCCCAGGUUCACAGGAGUUUGCACCAUGGCUAAAAUCUCAAAACCUCAGAAACUGAGCAAGGAGAAGGCUGGUGCUUCGUUUUGGGCCAGUUGUGCCAGUGCAUCUUCCAAGAGAGUACUCGUGUUAGUGUGCAGCUCAGCUGGAGGAUGGCCUUGAUGGAGGUCAACCUGGCAGUGAGAUGCAGCACAGCAGAAUGCUGAUCUUAAUACCAGCUUUCACAGAAGAGUAUCUUACACCAGGACCAGUCUGUUGACUUCUAAACAACUCUCUGAACGCAGCACUGAGGCUGCCAGUGUCCUGCUGGUCCUUCCACACCUGGACAACGAGUAGGGUUGCGAUGGCCACAUUGUGUGUUGUGGGCAGGGUGGGCAGCUCCCUGCAGCUCUGUCUUUUCCUUGCUUGGAUGUGUGCACCUCCACAGCACAGAUUUUUCUGUCCUGCAGCUUGCGUGAGUUCACGUUCAAAGAUUACUUUCUCAAGACAUUCUAUUUGUUAAAAUGUGUUGCUUCCAUAGGUUGUGCCUGUUCUCAAGGAUACCACCCAAGGGCAAACACUUAGAGGGUGCAAAGCCAACAACACAAGUGCAGUUUCCAUGGGAAAUGCAGGCAGGUAUAGGUCUACCUGCAGUAAAAUGCCAGGCUCAGAGUAUCUGCUCCAUUCCCCUCUUCUGGGGUGUGCUGAGGAACACCCAUUUCCUACAGAGCAGUGAGGCUGCAGCUGAGCUCCCUACAAAGAGGAGUUAAAACCACAUCCCAAAGACGCCUCUGCCAGAACAGGUCAGUAAUUGCAGGUUUUCUUGAGUAACGAUUCAGUCAGGCUUAAUUUUCUUUUCAUAUCUGUUCUAAAAAAUGCUUGAUAUUGUGCUGCCCUUAGGUAAAGAGAAGAAUUUUAGUCUUAAAAGGGGGACUUAAACUCCAGGUCUUCCACUAAAUAAAAAGUGUAUUUGGUGAAACUACUUCCAUGGAAAGAGUUCACCGAAGAACAGAACGUUGAAAGUAUUUCAGCCAUCUGCCAUAGGAAGGAUGUGAAAAGCUGUCAGACCUUUCCUGCUGUGAAUAUGCAGGAUUUUCCCUAGCAGAAGGCUGAAUCUUCCACCUGAGAAUGAAGUCUCCAUUUUGUGAUCGAUAUUGCUGUCACUGAAACAUGUAACUGCAAAGGAGUUUGGGUGAAACUCUAGCCGAUCUGCGGCAGGGAGCAAUCGUGGGCUGGCAACAGGAUGGAAUCAGUGACCUAAUCAACCAUUUCCCCCUCUAAUUGCUGUGAUUCUAUGGUUUAAAGAAUUACACAAUGUGUAUUUUAGUUGGAACAAGACACUAUUAUUGAGUAAAGUGCAUAAUAAUUGUGUUUCAGGAGGUGAAAUAAAUGUCGAUCACCAGGCACUUUAAUCCAUCAUUGUACUUUGCUAAAUUACUUAAAUUGCACUACAUUCAAUACUAAAAUUACUUGUAAUAUAGUGAUUGCCGAACUGACACUCACAAAAAGAUGUCUAGCACCUACAUUUGUUUUCCUAAUUGACAAUUUUAGGCUUCAGUCUAGGGAGGGAGGAGUGCCCGCAGCCUUCACUUCAGUUGAUAGGAAUGGAGGGCACGUAGACCCACCUGUGCAGAAGCAGUCUCUUAGCAGCAAAGAAUCCUGCCUGCACAAAGUACUUCCAACUUCCGUUAGCUUUAGAGCCCUUGCUUAUGUCACUAGGAAGGUCCAUGUUGCCUACAUUUACAGAAACGUUAGAUUUUGACACAAGGCUUUUGUGUAAUCAUACUCCACUUGCGUAUAUUGCUCUGCAGCUUCUUCCCUAGCCAUUCACUAAUUAAUAUCCAUUUUGCAGACUUUGAGGUAAGUGGUUUGGUUGAGGAUCUACAGCAUGAUCCUCAACCAAAUGGUCCCAACUUGCUCCUGAGUGGGGAGCAAGACAAAUUCCUCGUGCUCAGUCUCCAGUGGCACUUUGGAGUUGACCCAUGACUUUUGUUGAUUCUUCUUCCUGGCGUCCUUCUGCUCUGCAGGAUUUUAGUUGAUAAAAAGCAAACGUAAAGGGAACUCUUGGUUUCAGUUCCUGAAUAUGACAUUUAGAUUCAGCCUACCUAGAAGAACAUUUUUUUUCUUCAUAUAGUACUCCGGAGGUGUUAACAAACUGUAUAAUUAACUGGUUCUGAGCUAAACUAGGUUUUUGUUUUUUUUUAAAACUUUAGCUAAUGUGUGUGGUUACGUGCCUGGGAGAGAACACAGAUGGUUUUUUCCCACAGGAUAAGCUAUACCCUUUUGCAAAGAAUGACACACAACAGAUUUGCAUCAUUAAAGAUCUUUGCUGGUGGCUGAACUGCUUUGCAUAUAAAUGAGACCUUACUUGAACAGUUCAGCUUGUGAAUGUGAGUGCUGGAUCAGGUCUCCGCUCACCACCAGCCUCAGAGGGAACUCUGCUCUGGGCUGCUAGAACACAGGUAGCAGGAAGUUUUAAACCAUCAUGUGAGCACAAAGGAGAGAAGCUGUUAGGAGAGUGUGUGUGGUGGGGGAUUUUCCCUCUGCACUGCCUCCCUGGCUCUGCUGUUCCCACACCACAACACCCAGCUCUGAGCAGGAUGAUGCUGGAAACAGAGAGCUGGUUAGCAGAGCCCAGAACACACCAGGACAUCCAUGACAUGGUCUCAGAAGACCCUGUGCCAGCUUCUAAAUUGUGGAGCGGGACUUGGCAGAGUGAAGCACAGCAGAGGUUUUGGACUGGAGCACUGAGAGCUUCCUCAUUUGUCAAGCAGCACCAAGCAGUUGAGAGAUGUCUUAGGAAUGGUGUAAACCUCUCCCCACAUUUCCAGAGUGCCUGAGGUCCUUUCAUGAAGAGGAUGAGAGAAGUGAGUGGGAUGGAGGGAGUUUCCUCUGGAAAGGGGAAUCCAGAAUGAGAAACACAUUCAGCCACUGCAAACAGCAAAAACACAUACGCUUUGACUGCAGGAGCCAGACCAUGCGUGCCUCACAUGUGCAGCUGCCCAGAUUUACGGCCUGUUAUCCUUCUGGCAAUUACUGGAUUGUACCGUGGGGAUCUGCAUGGGCGAUGCGCAGGUUGCCCACACAGCCUGGCCUUCUGAGAAAUGACACGGCGCGCGCCAUGUGCUGCGGCCAGCAGCAGCUGUGCUGGAAAACCACCACGGAGGAAAUCACAAGUUAGUGAGUCACCGAGACCGCUGCCAGCCUGUCAGGAGACUCUCCAUAACUCAGCUUUCAUGUGCUUGUGCUUCUGCUGUAAAGCAGGCUCAGAUGCCACCUUGAACAGCAGAGCAGCCGCUAGCAGGUGGGAAGAAAGUCCUGGUUUACGUUCUCCCAUCCCAAAUUUAGGUGAGUGCUGUGAAGCGAGCAGGCUCCCAGGCGGACUGCAGCAUAGCCAGCACACCCCUGAAAGUCAACAGAGAUGCCGCACGUGCCCCUAGCCCUGCCUGGUGCUGCCUGGGACGUGGCUGGGAGCACGCCGCUGCCACGGCACUUCUGGCCCGGCAUCAAUACUGAGGUCCUCCCAGAGCUGUUUAUAGCUCCAGUCCAGCUGUGAGAUCCAAGUGAUUCAGGCUUUAUCUUUGUGCGGGGAGAUCACUUGCAGCUGCUCUGGCCCGAGAGCACACUCCUAUGCUUAGGAUUUGCUUGCGUUUACACCAUUUACAUCUAUGAGAAGGGGGAGAAAAGCUGUUGAUACAGGUUUGUUAAGCAGGCAGCAGCUCUGUGGCAUAAAAUUCAGGCUCUUUUACGUCCAACCCACUGUCAGAAUACAGACCCCUGGGGAAAGGGCAGUGUUGUGCCCUGGGACACAGAGCUGGCAAGGCAGUGCUGCUGUCCCCCCACAAAACUGAUGCUUCUGGGCCUCCUGGGCCUCCCCAAGGCCACCCCUGCCUGCCCCCAACCCACGGCUUUAAAUGCUUCUCUUCCUUAAUCCCAAACAAGUGGGAGCAGGAUGCAGAGCAAACCAGUUCCAAACGCAUGUGCUGGGGGCUCUUGGCUGGGUCUUGUUCUCCUUAAAGCCAGAGGCAAAAUCCACAGGAGACGGAGGUGCUAAGAUACUCUCUGGCUGAGUAUCAGAUGCUAUUUUCCUUGGAAAUGCGAGGGGGUCCGUGAGGUGCAAUUUUGUCAGUGAGUGAGACCAGGUAUUUUCAACUUCAAAACAGACAAGAAAGUAGAAGCGUUUUCCAUGGAAACAUAGCUGGGUAAAGACUACAUUUGGGAUUUGUGCAUAUAAAUGCUUUUACUGCUUUCUUUAACAAAAACGGAGCAAUAACUCUUGCUUCGGGACUAGAAGAUUUUCAAGCAAUGAAAAUACUCCCUUAAAAUCUCCGUUUUAAAAGCAGCCUCUUCUGCGCUGAGUUUCUGGGUGACUUCUCGCCACAUUUUUUCGGCGGGGCCUGCACAGCACAUGUUCCCUCGCAGCAGCAGCAGGCGGAGUGCAGGCACUCGGGGCUGCCUGCUCUGCCCAGCGCUGCCGUCUCCAUCUUCAGACGUGCUCCCACCCGGAGCAGCGCUGCACGCUGCCUUCAGCAGGAGAUCCCCUGCGCUCUGCCUCUCGGCUGCUGACAAGCUCCGGCAGAUCACAGUGCCGGGAGAGGUGCUUGGGAGGCAGCUUGACAGCAGGGCAAAUCCUUAGCUAGCAAUAAUGCAUUCUUGCGUUUUUGUUCUUUGAUCAACCGUGCUUUGCAUUGACACUUGGACUUAACUCGCUUUAACUUCCACGUGCAAACUAGCUCGGAGCAGACAGGUCUCUCGGACUGUUUAAGGAUGCUUCCAGAUGAGUGUUGGUGUGUUGUGAUGAGGCAAAUCCCCCAUUUUCUAGCACCAGGGCAGCACUGCGCUUGCCUCAGCUCCUCAGCACCCUGUCUGCCAGAUAGCCCAAAGCUGCCCAAAACUCUGCGCAGAAUCCCAGCUUGAGCCCUCAAGUGUGAAAUGUUUGCUCUCUUCUCGGGCACAGCAAUGGGCAAACUUCCCUAGCAGUGUCCAAAAUGCUCAUGAAGUAUAAGGUGAUAUCUUCUCUCGGCAGCAGGAGCAGUGCUGGGUGGCACUGAGGUCGUAGUUUGUUCGGUGAAGGAGCAGCAUGGCCAAUGCUCACGGCGGCUGAAACUCUUCAUGAACUGGGAUUGCAUUCCGGGGGUAAUCUGGGAGGAAAAGAGACAGAGAAUGAAUGCGAAAAAGCCAGAGUCUAGCAGAUGGAUUUUGAAUUGAAAAAGUUCCCUGCAUUGUUUGGAGCUAGUGUUCCAACAUGGAAUUUGCUAUUUCUGAAGGAAUGAAUGAGUUUACUAUUUUUAAAAAAUAUGUAAGUGAAACACAUGAAAAGAAAACAAGCUCUUUUCUCUUGGAUUACAGCAAAUGUUCUGUUUGACCAGGUGUGGCUGAGGUUUUCUUACUUUAGUUUGUUCUGUUUGAUGCCUUGUUUUGGAAAGGAGAGAGGAAGAGGGAACGUUAAAAACGUUUAUGCUCAAUCCACCAAAAAGGAAUGUUUUCCAAGCUAAAAAAUGACCAUUUUCCGUCAGUCCCGGCUCUGACCUCUGAUCAGACACAGGGAUGUAGGACUCCUGUACACACAGUCGGUGGAAAGGGAGCUGGCUGCCACAUGUGAUCUCUGUGGCAGUCUCACCACAGCCUUGAAACAUCUCCCAGCUCUGUGUAGCCAUCAUUACUGCGCGCACUGCUCUGCCUGCCUGGGAGUUGUGCUGUUCCUGCAAAUUAGGGAUCCCUCUCUGCUCUGCUUGUGCUGCUCAGCAAGAGCCACCGACUGCUCGGGGGUGACCGCCUGUCAGCAGAGGUGGCAUCUGGAAACACACACAGGGAACAAGCUGUUCUCUGCAGGGCUUGGGUGGAAGCUGGGUGCCCUGGCACUCCGAGUCCUCCUCCUGCUUGGCUGCAGCCAGCAGCACAGGUGAUGCUGGUUAAGCACAUGACUUCUUGGUGUGAGUUAGGCUUGAUCUUCUUACUGAAUGCUUACACAGAUGUCCUCUGGGUCUCAUGAACACAUGUCUUCAAUUAAUUUUCACCAGCAGAGCUGAAGUUAAACACUCUUCCAGUUGGAAAAUGAGACGUCUGAUAUACUCCAAAGUGGCAGAUUUUCAGCCCUGCGCCCAUUCAGACUCCUAAGGGCAACUUUUCCAGUGUGCUGAGAGGCGGUUGCUGGGACAGCCAGCAUGGAGCUGUUUGCUUUUAGCACCCAGGGAGCAGAACAGGAUGGAAAACGUGCAUCCUGCUGGAGGAUUGCUCUCCUGGAGCAUCUUUGCCUGGAAACUGGCUUGACACAAAUAUCUGAAAAGAAGAAUUUCUCUCUAAAAGAUGCUUUGAAAAUAUAUGGAGCUAUGUGCCUCACACA